AUGCUCAUUCCAGCAGCACAUAUACUAAAAUUGGAAUGAUACGGAGAAGAUUAGCAUAGCCCCCUGCACAAGUAUGACACACAAAUUUGCGAAGCGUCCUAUAUUUUA